rnacentral:rRNA from 1 species
UGAAAACCUAACGCACGCACGCGACCUCCUCCCUUCUCUUCCCAGCUCCUCGACCUCCCUCCCAGCCACCGCCUAAUCCUCCCCUUCCUCCUCCUCCCCUUUCUUUCCCGUGACUACACCAUCGACCCCCACGCUAGCCCUUCGAUGGCUCUGGGGUUGAGGCGCUCAAGGAUGGAGGUGCUCAUGGCGGAGGGAGCGAAGGACGGCCCGCAGGCGAGCUCGAGAUGGAGGCGGCCCCGUGGGAGAGGCAGUGAGUCCGGAAGCGAGGGCAUGGAGGUCAACAACGAGUGCUCGGGAGAGGAGAGGAAGGCGGCACUCCAGGCAGUGGUGCUGGGUAGAGAGAGAUGCUGGCGGCGGCAGGAGCAGCUCGUCUCUUCUCCUCGUCUCAUCUCAUGGAUGAAGGCGCCGGUUCCAGGAGCUCCAGGAUUGGAAAACGUCUUCCUUCAAAAUUUUGCCAAGGGAGGAGAUCGAACACACUUGUUCUAUUGAUCUGGAGGGUACAUAUACAGAGGGAACAGAGGGCGUCUGGGUCACGAUGGUGAUCGUGGGCAGCCAUGUUCGAGAGGUGGAGGUUAUCACACCCCGUAGUCGUGACGUCGGGCGGAGCGACGCAAAGACUGGAACGGAAGUCAUGGAAGACGCCGGCCAGCAAUCAGGAUAAUCACCAAGCGAAAUUAAUUGAGACUAUUAUAAAAAAUCCUCAUUUUGGAGAAGGGUUAAGCAAUUGGUCCGGACAAGAUGUAAUAUCCGCAGGCAUGAGUUAACUGCAUAUGGGAAUGUAAGUCCCAUAAAUGGCAGCUACUUUGCGUUAGCAACUGGACAGGUUCACAGUUGGAGUAGCAUAGAUCAAGAUAUCACAUGCAGAGUGUAAAGAAAAGUUUCUUAAGAGAUUAGUUCUCCUGUUUGGAUAUUAGUUCUCCUCAUUUUGCCCAGCAGGGGAAAGAAUUGGGCAAGCGAGACCAGCGGGGGAAGGAACAGGCCAUGGCCUUAAACGCUGGCUUGUCGUUUGCUUCAACGUUGCUUACAGCUGAAGAAGACAAAGACCAGCAGCCGAUGGACGCCAUCUGGUGUUGUGUACAACAGGUUCUGGGGUAUGGUAGGAUGCAUUGGCUGAGGAAAGCAAUAGGCAUACACAUGAUAGUCAACAAUCUCUCAUUCUCUUCUUGUUCAUGUCGUGACUGGUUGCAGAGAUACCUCUCCAGAAGAACAAUGAGGUGAGAUUUUAAUUUUUCGACUGAGAUGGGAUUACAGUUUUUUUGCUUGAUUAUUUGGUCGUGUUUACUUAUGAUAAGUCAUUGAUGGUUGAUCUUGUUAGCUACAGAUGCUACCCACUGUUCCGAACAAGAUUGAAUUGAUGGACUAAAAUUACUAUUUGAUUCAUUCUUAUUUGUAGGAUGCUCCUAGUGUUAUCCAAUUUAAUCAGGUAGAUUUUGCAGAUGCAACUUAUGUGGUGUCACAACACAUAAAAAGGAAGGUCUUACAUCUUAGUUACACAUUGCUUCUGCUUUCAUGUAACCUUGGCCAUUCUUAUGAGGGUGGAAAACUGGCCAAUGAUGCUUUAAUUACAGGCUGCCAUUUUUCUGUUGCAUAAUCAGAACUUGAUUUCCUUCCAAGCAUGUGUUGUUACCUCAUGAAGAUGAUGUGUAAUCGUAGAUAGUUGGUUGUAGCAGACUAGCUAACAGUCUCUCGGGCUCACUGGAUAGAUUUUGGUUCUUUAUUAGGCGAUGGAUAUUUGUUCUUUUAGCAGCAACCUUUUAGAUAUAUGUUCUCUUAGCUGCAGCUUGUCUUUUCUCUUCUGUAAACCAAUACUGCAGCUAUAUUCCAUGUUUCAUGUACAUGUGUGCCUUCAUUUUACAUUAUUGGAGGACAAGUUGUUUUGUUUUCUGAUUCUGCACUUCUCUAUGCUCGAAAGAUUUUAUAUAACAAGCCUUGCCCCAUCUCAUAACAGAAUAUUAGUGGGAUGUAUUAUCAAAUACGCCCUCUCGGUAUUGAUGUCACUUAUUGUGAAUUGACGAGUAAAGACUCACACUGCUAGAUACAUGCAUGUUGAAAAUUUGUUUGUAAGGAAUUUGCCCUCUGAAAAUUGUGGUGAAACAAAGAUUUAAUUCAGAGGUAUUUUACCAUCGACACACCUCUUUUGAAGGCAAGGUCAGGUCUGAGUUCAUCCUGUUUUCUAUCUUUAGUCUCAAGUGAAGAUUCAUCUCCGUUCACUAACAUUCAUUUUUUAUGUAAUUAUUUUAUUGAUCCAUGCACCAACUGUCCAUUGUUUGAACAUUUAGUGUGCGUCUAUACUAAUUAUGAUUUCCUAUGUCCGUACAUUUAGCUUGCAAUAAUGUAAGCACCAGUCCAUUUAAUUUUGGAAGUUCCUGCUAUUCAAAUAGGUGUUAUUGGUGCUUGAGAAUGUACGAUUAAAUGUGCCGAUGUCUCUUAACUUACUACCAUUCAUAUAGAAAUUAAAAAUCAUAAACUCCAAAGACCUGGCAGAAUGAGUCACACAUUCUUAAGUUAGGGAUGCCAUGUUCUUGUGCAAAAUGUUUUCUGUUGGGUAUUGACAUGAAAGGCUUCUUUAUAAAUGUCAAUCUUGAAGGCGUAUAUGGUAUGCUAUUUUUUCGAAAGCUUUAUCAUGACAUCGAUCUUGGUUUAUCCUUACUGCCAUGCAGAGGUUGGAUGGACUUUGGCCACAGGUUGCAGGAUAGCAGGAUGUGUUUUUCAGUGAUGUGGUUGCUCACAGAUGGCAUCAGUUAAACAAGAGGAGGCAAACACAACCAGUGAUAUCAGCGGUAGCCAAAUUACCCAUGACGAACUGUGUCGGAAGCAUAACAAGCCAUUCGAGUAUAUUCAUCGCCCACGCGAAGUAAGCUCAACCCGAAAGUUCAAAGGUGAGCUUGGCAUCGACCACUUAGAUGAGUUUAGUCGCCACAUUGUGUGGGGCAACACAGUUAAGCUCUACAAUCAUAAUGUUCUUAGACUGUGAAAGAUCAUCCACAACAUCACCACGCCUGAUCGCUACUAUGUGUGCCACAUGACAGAAACAUUUGCAACAGACAUCAAAAGAAUGUACUUUACGGUUCCCUUUUCUAUGGGUUCCCUUUUCCCACACAUGGAUGGUGAUCAGGGUGAACUGCCAAUCACUAUUGGAGAUGGAACUACUGCUAUCACAUCCAGCUUUAUCAAAGGUGUUGACAAAAGGGCCACCAUCACUAGAGGCUGGAGCGACUUCUUCCAUCGGGCACACAUGAACAAAGGGCAAGCAUAUGCUUUUGCCUUCAAAUGCACUUCCAAGGGAUUGUGCCUGAUCGUCUACAUAAGCAAGUUGCAAGAGCCCCUUGUUAUAUAACUUAGCAUUAGUAUAGAUGCCUACCAAGACUUCUAUGUUUAUCAUCCUUUUGGAUCUUAUGUAAUCACCUGAGACCAUCAUGUGCGUUUAACUAUCGGUUAUUUGUUGCUUAGACUGUUGUGUGGUAUGCUUUUCAAAUAGCCAUGAUGAAAGAAAUAUAUGCUUUCGCCUUGAAGUGCAUGUUCAAAGGC